GGAUGUGAGGGUGAUCUGGCUGUGACAUCUGUCACCCUAUUGAUUGCCAGGGUUGAUUCAGCUGAUCUGGCUGGCCAGGUGGUUGUCUACUUCCUCCCUCACUGCUCCAUGUCUAUCCCUCCCGAAGCUGCGUGCUAGGUUGAAGAGGACAACCAUCCCGGACAGAGAAGGACUCGUCUUGGGUCAAGAGUAGAUGAGUAGCUGUGCUCCUCUGCUAGAACCUCCAAACAAGCUCUCAAAAGAAAAAAACACUGUAAACAAAUAUUGAACUCUAGUUAAUAAUAUGCCCACUGAAGUGUUCAGAAGUAUAACAGGU
ensembl:misc_RNA 7SK 7SK RNA